rnacentral:rRNA from 1 species
GNUAGACUUGGUCUUAUUUCUUAGCGGCGGACGGGUGAGUACACGUGGGUAACCUGCCCAUAAGACUGGGAUAACUCCGGGAAACCGGGGCUAAUACCGGAUAACAUUUUGAACUGCAUGGUUCGAAAUUGAAAGGCGGCUUCGGCUGUCACUUAUGGAUGGACCCGCGUCGCAUUAGCUAGUUGGUGAGGUAACGGCUCACCAAGGCAACGAUGCGUAGCCGACCUGAGAGGGUGAUCGGCCACACUGGGACUGAGACACGGCCCAGACUCCUACGGGAGGCAGCAGUAGGGAAUCUUCCGCAAUGGACGAAAGUCUGACGGAGCAACGCCGCGUGAGUGAUGAAGGCUUUCGGGUCGUAAAACUCUGUUGUUAGGGAAGAACAAGUGCUAGUUGAAUAAGCUGGCACCUUGACGGUACCUAACCAGAAAGCCACGGCUAACUACGUGCCAGCAGCCGCGGUUAAUACGUAGGUGGCAAGCGUUAUCCGG